rnacentral:rRNA from 1 species
AGGAAUAUUGGUCAAUGGGCGAGAGCCUGAACCAGCCAAGUAGCGUGAAGGAUGACUGCCCUAUGGGUUGUAAACUUCUUUUAUAAAGGAAUAAAGUCGGGUAUGGAUACCCGUUUGCAUGUACUUUAUGAAUAAGGAUCGGCUAACUCCGUGCCAGCAGCCGCGGUAAUACGGAGGAUCCGAGCGUUAUCCGGAUUUAUUGGGUUUAAAGGGAGCGUAGAUGGAUGUUUAAGUCAGUUGUGAAAGUUUGCGGCUCAACCGUAAAAUUGCAGUUGAUACUGGAUAUCUUGAGUGCAGUUGAGGCAGGCGGAAUUCGUGGUGUAGCGGUGAAAUGCUUAGAUAUCACGAAGAACUCCGAUUGCGAAGGCAGCCUGCUAAGCUGCAACUGACAUUGAGGCUCGAAAGUGUGGGUAUCAAACAGGAUUAGAUACCCUGGUAGUCCACACGGUAAACGAUGAAUACUCGCUGUUUGCGAUAUACGGCAAGCGGCCAAGCGAAAGCGUUAAGUAUUCCACCUGGGGAGUACGCCGGCAACGGUGAAACUCAAAGGAAUUGACGGGGGCCCGCACAAGCGGAGGAACAUGUGGUUUAAUUCGAUGAUACGCGAGGAACCUUACCCGGGCUUAAAUUGCAGAUGAAUUACGGUGAAAGCCGUAAGCCGCAAGGCAUCUGUGAAGGUGCUGCAUGGUUGUCGUCAGCUCGUGCCGUGAGGUGUCGGCUUAAGUGCCAUAACGAGCGCAACCCUUAUCGAUAGUUACUAGCAGGUCAUGCUGAGGACUCUAUUGAGACUGCCGUCGUAAGAUGUGAGGAAGGUGGAGAUGACGUCAAAUCAGCACGGCCCUUACGUCCGGGGCUACACACGUGUUACAAUGGGGGGUACAGAAGGCAGCUACACGGCGACGUGGUGCUAAUCCCGAAAGCCUCUCUCAGUUCGGAUUGGAGUCUGCAACCCGACUCCAUGAAGCUGGAUUCGCUAGUAAUCGCGCAUCAGCCACGGCGCGGUGAAUACGUUCCCG